UACGUAGGGUGCGAGCGUUGUCCGGAAUUAUUGGGCGUAAAGAGCUCGUAGGCGGCUUGUCGCGUCGACUGUGAAAUCCCGCGGCUCAACUGCGGGUCUGCAGUCGAUACGGGCAGGCUAGAGUUCGGUAGGGGAGACUGGAAUUCCUGGUGUAGCGGUGAAAUGCGCAGAUAUCAGGAGGAACACCGGUGGCGAAGGCGGCAUCCUGGACCGACAUUGACGCUGAGGAGCGAAAGCUAGGGGAGCAAACGGG
rnacentral:rRNA from 1 species